GGUGGAGUGGUGUAGAGGUUAGCACACCCGACCGGACAUUGGGAUACCCAGAGUUCAAAUCCUGGCUCCGCCG
rfam:Ixodes scapularis strain Wikel colony gcontig_1108379389888, whole genome shotgun sequence.